UGUUGGUGUCUGAGUGGCCCCACGUCCGUGACGGGCACCGUGGGGGGAUCCCUGAGCGUGCAGUGUCAGUACGAGGAGAAAUUCAGAGAGAUUGCCAAAUACUGGUGCAAGAGCCCAUGUGUGUGGAGUACUGUAAAGACCAAGGAGGCAGACAGAGAAGUGAGGAACGGCCGUGUGUCCAUCAGGGACCAUCCCGCCAACCUCACCUUCACAGUGACCUUGGAGAGCCUCACAGAGGAUGAUGCAGGAACAUACCGGUGUGGGAUCGAUACAUCAUCAGGACUGCCAGGAUUUGUGUUCGACCACACCUUCCGUGUUGUGGUGUCUGUGACCCCAGGCCCCAGCUCCGUGAGGCCCACCAGCAUCCCAGGUCUUCACAGGACCCAGCCAGUCCCCACGUGGGACACCGCGACUCUGCAGGAGACCCCCAAUUCCAGCCAACAUCCUGGGCCCUCGCUAGAGAGUCAUCCUGCUGAAGACCAGGCCCCUAAGGGAGCAGAGAGGUCCCUGCUCAGCAGCAUCUAUUUCUGGGUGGUGCUCCUGCUCCUGAGCUUGCUCAGUGCUGUCCUCUGAGUGACCAGGCUCAGAGGGGCUCUGGGGGGAGGUGUCGUCAUCCUCAUACCAGCAACACCAAUUGCCCACUGAUGACCCGUCCAGGAACACAGCCCGUCUGAUGGAUGGGAAUGGCCUUUUGACCAAUACAUCCAUCCAUUUUCCGUAUUUCUUUCCGAAUAUUCAGUAACCUUUUUGUAACUUUCUCUGCAGUGUAUCAUAGACACAAAGAAUGUUCCCAAUAAAUGCUUACUCCUUAAACCUUGAAUACUCUUCAACCCUUGGGUGCCCACCUCAUAGCUUAAUA